rnacentral:pre_miRNA from 1 species
GUCCGUGGUCUAGGUAGUUUCAUGUUGUUGGGGUUUACGCUCCAGAUGUCCGACAGCAGAAAACUGCCCGGACCGCGCCA